rnacentral:misc_RNA from 1 species
GACCUCCACAUUUAUGCAGCUGAAUCAGAAGCCUAUUUUUCAACUUUUACAAGCUGCUUCCAUAAAAGUGUAAAGUGAAAAUUAUCAAUCUUUGAGUGGAAGAAGUAGAGGCUUUCUGUGAUUAAAAUCAUCAUAGUAACUAUGUCCAAAUUUAAGCUUGCAAAGUCCUAUUCCAAAACUUCAGUUGGCCAAAGCUGCUUCCAUCUGGAAAUUUCUUCUUCGCUAUUUAGCUUUCUG